AGUGAACGCUGGCGGUAGGCCUAACACAUGCAAGUCGAGCGAACGCACAGUAAGAGCUCGCCUCUACGGGUGGCGAGUGGCGGACGGGUGAGGCAUACAUCGGAUUCUACUAUUUCGUGGGGGACAACGUGGGGAAACAUCCGCUAAUACCGCAUAUGUCCUACGGCUGAAAGCAGGAGUUCUUCGGACCUUUCGUGUUUGAUUUAGCCGAUGUCGGAUUAGCUAGUUGGCGGGGUAAAGGCCCACCAAGGCGACGAUCCGUAGCUGGUCUGAGAGGAUGAUCGGCCACACUGGAACUGAGACACGGUCCAGACUCCUACGGGAGGCAGCAGUAGGGAAUAUUGGGCAAUGGGCGAAAGCCUGAUGCAGCAAUGCCGCGUGGGUGAAGAAGGUCUUCGGAUUGUAAAGCCCUUUUAUUAGGGAAGAAAAAAAGUGUAAUAAUACCCGGACGUUCUGACGGUACCCAAAGAGAAAGCAACGGCUAACUUCGUG
rnacentral:rRNA from 1 species